rnacentral:misc_RNA from 1 species
UGCGCCCAAUGAGAACAUAUAUUGUGAAAAUGCAACCUGAUCUGAUCAGGACAGCUUCAGAAACCAAAGGGUGAUCUUCUCCUGCUUCCACCUUCUCCAUAUUGCUCGUUCCAUUUCCUCAGCUCAUUCAUGCUUGCAGCAUCAUAGGCAACGGAUGGACCCACCUUUGCUUUUGACUGAAUGAAAUCAUCCAAAUUAAGUGACCUUAAAGCUGAAGCAACAUCACCUUUACCACCCUUCUUUUCUUCUUCUAGAAGUUCCUGGACAGGUCUAUAUGCUGCAGCAAUACAG